rnacentral:pre_miRNA from 1 species
AUGAAUACGCGUAUCAAUGACAUUUGCACCGCGCAAAUGUCAUUGAUACGCGUAUUC